AUUGAACGCUAGCGGGAUGCUUUACACAUGCAAGUCGAACGAGUGGCGGACGGGUGAGUAAUAUAUCGGAACGUGCCCAGUAGCGGGGGAUAACUACUCGAAAGAGUGGCUAAUACCGCAUACUAUCGGAUCGUCCGAUAUCGGAUUAGCUGGUUGGUGGGGUAAAGGCUCACCAAGGCAACGAUCCGUAGCUGGUUUGAGAGGAUGACCAGCCACACUGGGACUGAGACACGGCCCAGAUUCCUACGGGAGGCAGCAGUGGGGAAUUUUGGACAAUGGGGGAAACCCUGAUCCAGCCAUGCCGCGUGUAUGAGAAGGCCUUCGGGUUGUAAAGUACUUUUGGCAGAGAAGCGGUAUCUGCAGAAUAAGCACCGGCUAACUACGUGCCAGCAGCCGCGGUAAUAC
rnacentral:rRNA from 1 species